GUGGUGAUGUUUGACUUUGUGGAGUACAAGGCAGUCCCUGACAUUCAGCAAAUUAUUACGGACCCUGUACAAGCUGUAAACGAUGCUGUUGACGAAGUAUCCAGUCUGCUCAAUAAGUUUCAAGAAUGUGCGCCUGAUUUAAGUGACCCCAUGUCUGCUGCCACGUAUGCGGCCGAGGAAAUAGCAGAAGUAAA